UACAGAGGUCUCAAGCGUUGUCCGGAUUUAUUGGGCGUAAAGAGCUCGUAGGCGGCUUGUCGCGUCGGCUGUGAAAACCCGCGGCUCAACUGUGGGCGGGCAGCUGAUACGGGCAGGCUGGAGUUCGGUAGGGGAGACUGGAAUUCCUGGUGUAGCGGUGAAAUGCGCAGAUAUCAGGAGGAACACCGGUGGCGAAGGCGGAUCUCUGGGCCAUUACUGACGCUGAGGAGCGAAAGCGUGGGGAGCGAACAGG
rnacentral:rRNA from 1 species